rnacentral:rRNA from 1 species
UAGGGAAUCUUCCACAAUGGACGCAAGUCUGAUGGAGCAACGCCGCGUGAGUGAAGAAGGUUUUCGGAUCGUAAAGCUCUGUUGUUGGUGAAGAAGGAUAGAGGUAGUAACUGGCCUUUAUUUGACGGUAAUCAACCAGAAAGUCACGGCUAACUACGUGCCAGCAGCCGCGGUAAUACGUAGGUGGCAAGCGUUGUCCGGAUUUAUUGGGCGUAAAGCGAGCGCAGGCGGAAGAAUAAGUCUGAUGUGAAAGCCCUCGGCUUAACCGAGGAACUGCAUCGGAAACUGUUUUUCUUGAGUGCAGAAGACGAGAGUGGAAUUCCAUGUGUAGCGGUGGAAUGCGUAGAUAUAUGGAAGAACACCAGUGGCGAAGGCGACUCUCUGGUCUGCAACUGACGCUGAGGCUCGAAAGCAUGGGUAGCGAACAGG